rnacentral:misc_RNA from 1 species
AGAGAGAGAGAGAGAGACAGACACCUGAAAGUGCUGCUGAAUGCCAGUUGAGACUUGAGAGUGUGGAUCUUCCUUUCUCGUGAGGAUUGAGGCAGGUGUUUUAAGAAUUUUUCUUUUAUUUGACUUUAAAUAAUUAAAAAAAAAAUGUCAUUAAUAUGGACUUAGAAGGAUCAAGAUGCUUUCAUCAGUCUUAAACAUGCCCUAGCAUCCUCCACUGUUUUGGUGGUAGAAAUAGAGGUCAAGGAGUGUGGAUCAAUAAACUAAUAGAACUAAAUGCUGAACUUAACUUGAAAUUGGGCUCUGAUCACGAAAAUGGACUAAGCCAUUUUAAUUUGGUUUGCCAACACUUAUAUCUUCUUUAAUUUUCUUAUACACUGCCAAUGUG